GCAGUCGAGCGAACGAAGGGAGCUUGCUCCCGGAUGUUAGCGGCGGACGGGUGAGUAACACGUGGGUAACCUGCCUGUAAGACUGGGAUAACUCCGGGAAACCGGAGCUAAUACCGGAUAGUUCCUUGAACCGCAUGGUUCAAGGAUGAAAGACGGUUUCGGCUGUCACUUACAGAUGGACCCGCGGCGCAUUAGCUAGUUGGUGGGGUAAUGGCUCACCAAGGCGACGAUGCGUAGCCGACCUGAGAGGGUGAUCGGCCACACUGGGACUGAGACACGGCCCAGACUCCUACGGGAGGCAGCAGUAGGGAAUCUUCCGCAAUGGACGAUAGUCUGACGGAGCAACGCCGCGUGAGUGAUGAAGGUUUUCGGAUCGUAGAGCUCUGUUGUUAGGGAAGAACAAGUGCGAGAGUAACUGCUCGCACCUUGACGGUACCUAACCAGAGAGCCACGGCUAACUACGUGCCAGCAGCCGCGGUAAUACG
rnacentral:rRNA from 1 species